UACGUGGGGUCCGAGCGUUGUCCGGAAUUAUUGGGCGUAAAGGGCUCGUAGGCGGUUUGUUGCGUCGGGAGUGAAAACUUACAGCUUAACUGUGAGCGUGCUUCCGAUACGGGCAGACUUGAGGUAUUCAGGGGAGAACGGAAUUCCUGGUGUAGCGGUGAAAUGCGCAGAUAUCAGGAGGAACACCGGUGGCGAAGGCGGUUCUCUGGGAAUAUCCUGACGCUGAGGAGCGAAAGUGUGGGGAGCGAACAGG
rnacentral:rRNA from 1 species